ACCCAGCUGGGCGAGUCUGAGCACUGUUGGGUAACUUCAGGUGACGUGGAGGCAGACACCAGGAAGCCUCGAGCAUUUAAAACCGAACCAACAACGGCGGUUACGCAUUCAGAAUGAUCAGCGCUUUUGUUUAUAUCCACGGAUAACGUUAACGGCGUACAGCGAAUGAUCGAGGAGCUGUGAAGACGACGACAAGUGGCGACCUCCAGCAGAAGCGCUGCGACUGAAGGCCUCGCCCGCGUGCGGCACAGCAAGCGAAUUCCUGUUCGCGUUGCCAGGGCCAGCGACCGCUUUGCCUUGACCGAACCAUCGGCAACAAUCGCAGCACCAGCAUAAUAAUCCAGGUUCCUGUGCCUGACACCUUAGCAAUAAUUGAAGAUUUAGUCCAACAUGGACUGAACCCUGAUGUUCCUACUCUGGUUAGGCACUGCCUUACCAACACUUACUUCACCUGGAAUGGUACUUUCUACAAACAAAAUGAAGAGGCAGUCGUGACAUUUGGACAA